UAAGCUCUAUAUAAACUAGGAUAUAUGUGAAUAAGCAAAUAUGAUCUUUUCCUAAAGAGUAAUAUCCACCUGAAUAUGUUGUAUUAAACACUUUUUAACCCAUACAUCUGAAAAAUUCGGCCUCAUUGAAAAAAAUGAGUUGAAUGGAUUUAUAAAGGAUAAAACUGAUAUAUAAAUACAAUUGUUCUUUUAUGCUUAUCUUAUAGAUAGAAGAAAACAUAUAAAUUGAAAACACACUUUUAUUGCAACACCGAGCAAGAAAUUUCAAGUUUCACCCGGUGUAUGUCUGUGUCCUUGGGUCUGUCAAGUUGAAGGUCACUCACUAACACUUUGGAAGGAAAGAUUUCUGCCAAGAGGGAGGUUUGAUGAAGAGAAACAUCUCUGAGAGUAUACAGACAUGCAUCUUGUGUUGUCACUUCUUCAAGUUUUUGGAAGUGCUGGGAAGGAGAAGCUGUAAUUGAAAUGGGCAGACGUGGCAGGAGAAAAAAACAUCUGAAAUGAAGUCGAGAAUACCAAGAGGCCAUAAAACGGAGCCAGAAGACCCCUGGGAAGGAUUCAAUGACUUUUGUAAAGAAUGAAAAGGAUGCUAAGAAGCUGCUGUUAGAACUUUAAAAAAUGCAAUGCAAAAUGUUACUGAAGUCAUUCAAGAAUACUUCAGAAGAAAAUUAUUCCAAGGCCAAGCAAAUUAUUAUGAUUAUAAUGCAAGUAAAGGAUGGUGUGAAGUAAUUUAUCAAUGACAAAAAAUGAAAAGAAACCAGACUUUUGACAAA